AAGACUAUACUCUUAGGGAUCAUUUCUAUAGUUUUUGACUUGAGGAAUGGAUUCUAAAGUGUUUGGUCUCACCAACCAUGAGGAGGAUAUGAAGUGUAUUCUUCUGAGCGUGAAGUUGGUUGAAAGAGUUGCGUUUUCGCAAGUGCUUUCAACCGUUGAUGAUCGUUCCCUUCUUUAGAGAAGUGGAGGAAGAAUACACAUUCUGAGUGGU